rnacentral:rRNA from 1 species
GUGGGGAAUAUUGCGCAAUGGGCGAAAGCCUGACGCAGCGACGCCGCGUGGGUGAUGAAGGCCUUCGGGUCGUAAAGCCCUGUCGGGAGGGACGAAACCUCGGUGACCUAAUACGUCACCGACCUGACGGUACCUCUUAAGGAAGCACCGGCUAACUCCGUGCCAGCAGCCGCGGUAAUACGGAGGGUGCGAGCGUUGUUCGGAAUUACUGGGCGUAAAGCGCGUGCAGGCGGUCUCUUAAGUCUGGUGUGAAAGCCCGGGGCUCACCCCCGGAAGGGCACUGGAGACUGGGAGGCUAGAGUACCGGAGAGGAAGGUGGAAUUCCUGGUGUAGCGGUGAAAUGCGUAGAUAUCAGGAGGAACACCGGUGGCGAAGGCGGCCUUCUGGACGGCUACUGACGCUGAGACGCGAAAGCGUGGGGAGCAAACA